CCUGCCCCUAGGAACAUUGCAGGUGUGGCUGCUAUGUCACAUCAGUAGGUGGCAGAGAGGAGAGAGGCUAUGUCUAUGUUGAGUGUUCUGAUUUAUGAACAGCUGAAUGUUUUGUAGCCUAAGAGU